UUCUUGGCAUCUCGCUGCCCUUCCACUGCCAUCCAUCAGCCCUCCACAACCACCCAAAGCAAUUCCCACAAUUGCUUAAAAGAUUGUCGCCGAAUUCCGCCAUCAUCUCCAUCACCGCGGAUCAUCUUUUGAUCUCCCCGUGAAUUGCAACAGGUUUUGGUUUCCUACCUUUCUGCUGCUGCAAUUUAGUUAUCCUUAUUCGAAAAU
rnacentral:lncRNA from 1 species